ACUUAGCCCUGAUUGAACGGUCUGUUUGAGCUCUUUUUUGUUUUUUACAAAAAAAGCGAGUAGUGAAAGCAGGAAAUAGC
rnacentral:misc_RNA from 1 species